AGCCCCCUACAGGCGGGAGGACCCGAAAGGAAAAUAUUUCCGCUCAUAUGGGCGGAGCUAGGGAGCCUAGGCGGAAGUGACUGUAAUAGGAUUUGCGUUUGGGACCGCGGGCUCAGGCUAGGUUUAGUGGAUAAGGUAUGGUGGGUUAGUUAAGUAUUUGUAGAAACUGUUUUAAUAAAGGAUUGAGAACUCUGUUCUUUAAUUUUGCACACAGCACAUGGAUAUCAUUUAGAAACUUACUGUUUUUUGACACAUACGUGGAUACAACGGAUAAGCAACGUACACGUGGGAACCGACCAGUAAUUUUAGAACUAGGGGACCCCUCUUCCUGGCCUUCCUGCCAGAAAUACGAGGGUUUUCUUGGAGUUCUAACAGCUGACUAGGGCCAACACUGGGGCAAAGAGUAGAUGCUUGGUGAAUAUUGUACCAAUUUCAAGGGCAGAGAAUGUGAUCACAGACCUGCUUGUGACAUGUGUUAGGACAAGUGGGAGCAAGCCAGUCACGUGGGGCGUGAAGCUUAAGGAGGCAGUCUCACAGCUGCUGGACCUGGAGGUGUCAUCUGAGAGGGAAAGACUUUUACAGAGAAGGUACAGAAGCAAAGCAAAGAAAGUAUUACAGCUGAAGUGGUUGCCCUAUUUGGAAAAGCCUGGGCUCAUUAUAACAGAAGUCAGGAGAUCUGGCUCUCAGAGACAGCAUAGUAAUAAGCACCAAAGUGUUGUUCUCAAAGAAAUGAGAUCCAGUCCUGCAUGG